AUUAUUUUAGUAAAAGUUAAUUAUAUCGUCUUGAUAAGGCGGGGUUCCUUGGGGGAAUAAUA
rnacentral:tRNA from 5 species